rnacentral:rRNA from 1 species
UACGUAGGUGGCAAGCGUUGUCCGGAAUCACUGGGCGUAAAGCGCGCGCAGGCGGCGAUCUACGUCUGGGGGUGAAAGCCCGGAGCUCAACUCCGGGACUGCCUUGGAUACGGGAUCGCUUGAGGAUUGGAGAGGCAAGGGGAAUUCCACGUGUAGCGGUGAAAUGCGGUAGAUAUGUGGAGGAACACCGGUGGCGAAGGCGGGUCUCUGGGCGAA